UUCAUAUGUUGUGUUUUGAAGUGUCGCUGGGGUAUUUGACUUCACACCAACCACCUACCACCUGUUUCCCUCGCUUUAUUUAUUUUUGUUCUUAUUUGUUGGGGCACUUGUUUAUUCGAAGGGCGUUGUAUUUUCUGGGAAGACAAAGAAGGUCUUCAGCAAAUGUCAUCCUCCUCCAUAACCUGCAAAGCUGCGGUGGCAUGGGAAGCUGGAAAGCCUUUGGUGAUAGAGGAGGUGGAAGUAAGUCCUCCUCAACCAAUGGAGAUAAGGCUCAAAGUUGUCUCCACCUCUCUUUGCCGUAGUGAUCUCACCGCUUGGGAAUUCCAGUCUAUAUUUCCCCGGAUAUUUGGCCACGAAGCAUCGGGGAUUGUUGAAAGUGUGGGGGAGGGUGUCACUGAAUUUAGUGUGGGGGAUCAUGUCCUUACCGCAUUCACUGGAGAAUGCCGGGCAUGCAGGCAGUGCACAUCAGCUAAAAGCAACAUAUGCCAAGUACUGGGGUUGGAGAGGAGAGGGUUAAUGCAUAGCGAUCAGAAGACGCGCUUCUUCAUCAAAGGGAAGCCCAUUUAUCAUUAUUGUGCAGUUUCAAGUUUUAGUGAAUAUAUUGUGGUGAAUUCUGGUUGUGCUGUAAAAAUUAGCCCAGUUGUGCCUUUGGAGAAAAUAUGUCUUUUGAGCUGUGGAGUAGCUGCAGGUCUGGGUGCGGCUUGGAAUGUUGCCGAUAUAACAAAAGGAUCAACUGUAGCAAUAUUUGGUCUUGGAACUGUGGGCCUUUCUGUUGCACAGGGUGCUAAGAUAAGGGGAGCAUCCCGAAUCAUUGGCAUAGAUACCAAUCCUGAAAAAAGUGAAAAAGCAAAAGCUUUUGGAAUUACAGAAUUUCUCAACCCCAAUGACUAUAAUGAACCAAUUCAACAGAUUAUUAAGAACAUUACGGAUGGAGGGGCAGACUACUCAUUCGAAUGUGUAGGUGAUACUGGAAUGAUAACCACCGCAUUGCAGUCUUGUUGCGAUGGAUGGGGUUUGACAGUUACACUUGGUGUACCAAAAGUAAAACCGGAAAUAACAGCUCACUAUGCAAUGUUUCUUACCGGAAGAACAUUGAAAGGAACCUUAUUUGGAGGAUGGAAACCCAAAUCUGACCUUCCUUCAUUAGUAGACAUGUACACUGAGAAGUAAAGACCCCGAACAUAUUUGGUCCAUACUAAAAUUCUUAAUUUAGAUGUACCAAAGGACGAGUCAGACAUGCAAUUUUGUGUUUCAGUUUAGAUCGCUAUAUUCAUCCUGGAAUCCUGUAUGAGGGAUAUGACGGUGCUUGGUUUUUGUUGGGGUUGUUUCUAAAAUCAAGUCAUGGUAAUCCAGAUCGAUGAGUACAUAACGCAUAACCUGCAAUUUGAGGAAAUCAACAAAGCUUUUAGUCUCAUGAAAGAGGGCAAGUGUUUGCGUUGUGUCAUCCACAUGCCAAACUGAUAUAAUCUCAAACUGAUGAACAACAUGUUUGUCAGGUACAGGCUUGGUUGCCAUGAUGAAGCAAUUCUUCCACUCGCAGAGAUGCUAACAUACAUCUCAAAUCAUGUUUUUGCAAUCUCAAUUCUCAAAACGAUUAUAAACGCACACCAAAUGUCUGCACAAUGGAAAUUUAUUUCUAUUGUAUCCUGAAACAAAACAUUGCACCUGGGAUCUGCGACUAUAAUCACAAUUUACGUUUAUGUCAA